AGUUGUUUUUGGGGUGUUUUUGGGGGUUUUUGGGGGUCCCAGGGCUGUUUUUGGGGUGUCCUGAGUGUUUUUCGGGGUGUCCUGAGUGGUUUUGGGUGUCCUGAGUGUUUUUUGGGGGUCCCAGGGCUGUUUUUGGGGUGUCCUGAGUGUUUUUCGGGGCGUCCUGAGUGGUUUUUGGGGUGUCCUAAGUGGUUCUGGGUGUCCCAGGGCUGUUUUUGGGGGUCCCAGGGCUGUUUUUGGGGUCCCUGAGUGUUUUUGGGGUCCCCCCAGACGAGGUCACCGUUCGCUUUGAGCCGGGCGGGAACCGAGUGAGGAACGAGGUCAGCGGGGCCUGGCCAGUGGUGAUCCACGGGAACGGCCCCACCAAGGUGGCCCUGAACUCUCUGGGCAAUUACGUCCCCCAGGGCUGGAGCCCGGGGGGCUGCGGGGACUGCGAGAGGGACCUGAGACCCCUCGGGGGGACCC
rnacentral:lncRNA from 1 species